rnacentral:rRNA from 1 species
UACGGAGAGUGCAAACGUUGUUCGGAUUCACUGGGCGUAAAGGGCUCGUAGGCGGUUCGUCACGUCGGGAGUGAAAACUCGGAGCUUAACUCCGAGCCUGCUUCCGAUACGGGCAGACUAGAGGUAGGCAGGGGAGAGCGGAACUCCUGGUGUAGCGGUGGAAUGCGCAGAUAUCAGGAAGAACACCGGUGGCGAAGGCGGCUCUCUGGGCCUUACCUGACGCUGAGGAGCGAAAGCGUGGGUAGCGAACAGG